GGGCUCAGGAUGAACGCUGGCGGCGUGCUUAACACAUGCAAGUCGAACGAUGAAGCCCAGCUUGCUGGGUGGAUUAGUGGCGAACGGGUGAGUAACACGUGAGUAACCUGCCCUUAACUCUGGGAUAAGCCUGGGAAACUGGGUCUAAUACCGGAUAGGAGCGUCCACCGCAUGGUGGGUGUUGGAAAGAUUUAUCGGUUUUGGAUGGACUCGCGGCCUAUCAGCUUGUUGGUGAGGUAAUGGCUCACCAAGGCGACGACGGGUAGCCGGCCUGAGAGGGUGACCGGCCACACUGGGACUGAGACACGGCCCAGACUCCUACGGGAGGCAGCAGGGGGAAUAUUGCACAAUGGGCGAAAGCCUGAUGCAGCGACGCCGCGUGAGGGAUGACGGCCUUCGGGUUGUAAACCUCUUUCAGUAGGGAAGAAGCGAAAGUGACGGUACCUGCAGAAGAAGCACCGGCUAACUACGUGCCAGCAGCCGCGGUAAUACGUAGGGUGCGAGCGUUAUCCGGAAUUAUUGGGCGUAAAGAGCUCGUAGGCGGUUUGUCGCGUCUGUCGUGAAAGUCCGGGGCUUAACCCCGGAUCUGCGGUGGGUACGGGCAGACUAGAGUGCAGUAGGGGAGACUGGAAUUCCUGGUGUAGCGGUGGAAUGCGCAGAUAUCAGGAGGAACACCGAUGGCGAAGGCAGGUCUCUGGGCUGUAACUGACGCUGAGGAGCGAAAGCAUGGGGAGCGAACAGGAUUAGAACCCCUGGUAGUCCAUGCCGUAAACGUUGGGCACUAGGUGUGGGGACCAUUCCACGGUUUCCGCGCCGCAGCUAACGCAUUAAGUGCCCCGCCUGGGGAGUACGGCCGCAAGGCUAAAACUCAAAGGAAUUGACGGGGGCCCGCACAAGCGGCGGAGCAUGCGGAUUAAUUCGAUGCAACGCGAAGAACCUUACCAAGGCUUGACAUGUUCCCGAUCGCCGUAGAGAUACGAUUUCCCCUUUGGGGCGGGUUCACAGGGUGGUGCAUGGUUUGUCGUUCAGCUCGUGUCGUGAGAUGUUGGGUUAAGUCCCGCAACGAGCGCAACCCUCGUUUCCAUGUUGCCAGCACGUAAUGGUGGGGACUCAUGGGAGACUGCCGGGGUCAACUCGGAGGAGGUGAGGACGACGUCAAAUCAUCAAUGCCCCUUAUGUCUUGGGCUUCACGCAUGCUACAAUGCCGGUACAAUGGGUUGCGAUACUGUGAGGUGGAGCUAAUCCCAAAAAGCCGGUCUCAGUCGGAUUGGGGUCUGCAACUCGACCCCAUGAAGUCGGAGUCGCUAGUAAUCGCAGAUCAGCAACGCUGCGGUGAAUACGUUCCCGGGCCUUGUACACACCGCCCGUCAAGAGUCCACGAAAAGCGUCGGUAAAAAC
rnacentral:rRNA from 1 species